rnacentral:lncRNA from 1 species
ACGUCCAUCAAGCGUCUUAGUCAUCGUCGUUGUGCAGGAUUAACUAGAAAUAAAGUUUGUUCAGUAGGUACUUAAUCACAAUUCCCUAAUGACAGCGGUGCAGAUUGUUAAUUAUGAGAACUUAACUUGCCGAAUAAUUCGUGCAAUAUAGCUUUAUAGUUUUUCAACCACUCGCUCAACAUUGAAACGGAAGUCACGACGCACC